rnacentral:ncRNA from 1 species
GAGAGCACAGUACGAUGAAAGUUAUAAGCUGCGUUCGGGGGGAGUUAUUGUCUAUAGUCAGCCUUUAUGGUAGAACCCAUCGGGGAGGCCUGAGAGGCGGUGGUUUACCCUGU